rnacentral:rRNA from 1 species
GACGAACGCUGGCGGCGUGCUUAACACAUGCAAGUCGAACGGAAAGGCCCUGCUUUUGUGGGGUGCUCGAGUGGCGAACGGGUGAGUAACACGUGAGUAACCUGCCCUUGACUUUGGGAUAACUUCAGGAAACUGGGGCUAAUACCGGAUAGGAGCUCCUGCUGCAUGGUGGGGGUUGGAAAGUUUCGGCGGUUGGGGAUGGACUCGCGGCUUAUCAGCUUGUUGGUGGGGUAGUGGCUGACCAAGGCUUUGACGGGUAGCCGGCCUGAGAGCGUGACCGGCCACCUUGGGCCUGCGAUACGGCCCAGACUCCUACGGGAGGCAGCAGUCGGGAAUAUUGCGCAAUGGGCGGAAGCCUGUUGCAGCAACGUCGCGUGCGGGAUGACGGCCUUCGGGUUGUAAACCGCUUUCGCCUGUGACGAAGCGUGAGUGACGGUAAUGGGUAAAGAAGCACCGGCUAACUACGUG